rfam:Triticum aestivum genome assembly, contig: Triticum_aestivum_CS42_TGACv1_scaffold_095840_2AL
UUAAUACUCACUCCGUCCGGAAAUACUUGUCAUCAAAAUAGAUAAAAGGGGAUGUAUCUAGAUGUAUUUUAGUUCUAGAUACAUCUCUUUUUAUUCAUUUUGAUGACAAGUAUUUUCGGACGGAGAAAAUACAAA